UACGGAGGAUGCGAGCGUUAUCCGGAUUUAUUGGGUUUAAAGGGUGCGUAGGCGGAUCGUUAAGUCAGUGGUCAAAUUGAGGGGCUCAGCCCCUUCCCGCCAUUGAAACUGGCGAUCUUGAGUGGAAGAGAAGUAUGCGGAAUGCGUGGUGUAGCGGUGAAAUGCAUAGAUAUCACGCAGAACCCCGAUUGCGAAGGCGGCAUGCCGGCUUCCUACUGACGCUGAAGCACGAAAGCGUGGGGAUCGAACAGG
rnacentral:rRNA from 1 species